GAUGAACGCUGGCGGCGUGCCUAAUACAUGCAAGUCGAGCGAACAGACGAGGAGCUUGCUCCUCUGAUGUUAGCGGCGGACGGGUGAGUAACACGUGGAUAACCUACCUAUAAGACUGGGAUAACUUCGGGAAACCGGAGCUAAUACCGGAUAACAUGUUGAACCGCAUGGUUCAACAGUGAAAGACGGUCUUGCUGUCACUUAUAGAUGGAUCCGCGCCGCAUUAGCUAGUUGGUAAGGUAACGGCUUACCAAGGCAACGAUGCGUAGCCGACCUGAGAGGGUGAUCGUCCACACUGGAACUGAGGCACGGUCCAGACUCCUACGGGAGGCAGCAGUAGGGAAUCUUCCGCAAUGGGCGAAAGCCUGACGGAGCAACGCCGCGUGAGUGAAGAAGGUCUUCGGAUCGUAAAACUCUGUUAUUAGGGAAGAACAAAUGUGUAAGUAACUAUGCACGUCUUGACGGUACCUAAUCAGAAAGCCACGGCUAACUACGUG
rnacentral:rRNA from 1 species